rnacentral:rRNA from 1 species
AUGACCUCAAAUCAGAUGAGACUACCCGCUGAACUUAAGCAUAUCGAGAGUGUCAUCCACACUGGACCAUGUCUAAAUUGUAAUGAUCCACAGUCCUUUGAUGGAG